CAGCACCUCAAGUGGUCAGGAUGAUUAUUGGGCCUAAAGCAUCCGUAGCUUGCUUUGUCAGUUUUCGGUUAAAUCCAUACGCUCAACGUAUGGGCUGCCGGGAAUACUGCAAGGCUAGGGAGUGGGAGAGGUAGACGGUACUCGGUAGGAAGGGGUAAAAUCCUUUGAUCUAUUGAUGACCACCUGUGGCGAAGGCGGUCUACCAGAACACGUCCGACGGUGAGGGAUGAAAGCUGGGGGAGCAAACCGGAUUAGAUACCCGAGUAGUCC
rnacentral:rRNA from 1 species